GAUGAACGCUAGCGGCAGGCUUAACACAUGCAAGUCGAGGGGUAUACUUCUUCGGAAGUAGAGACCGGCGCACGGGUGCGUAACGCGUAUGCAAUCUACCUUUCACAAAGGAAUAGCCCAGAGAAAUUUGGAUUAAUGCCUUAUAGUAUAACGACUUCGCAUGGAGAUGUUAUUAAAGAUUUAUCGGUGAAAGAUGAGCAUGCGUCCCAUUAGCUAGUUGGUAAGGUAACGGCUUACCAAGGCUACGAUGGGUAGGGGUCCUGAGAGGGAGAUCCCCCACACUGGUACUGAGACACGGACCAGACUCCUACGGGAGGCAGCAGUGAGGAAUAUUGGUCAAUGGGCGCAAGCCUGAACCAGCCAUGCCGCGUGCAGGAUGACGGUCCUAUGGAUUGUAAACUGCUUUUAUACAGGAAGAAACAACUCUACGUGUAGAGUCUUGACGGUACUGUAGGAAUAAGGAUCGGCUAACUCCGUGCCAGCAGCCGCGGUAAUACGGAGGAUCCAAGCGUUAUCCGGAAUCAUUGGGUUUAAAGGGUCCGUAGGCGGCUUAAUAAGUCAGUGGUGAAAGCCCUACGCUUAACGUAGGAACGGCCAUUGAUACUGUUAGGCUUGAAUUAUUAGGAAGUAACUAGAAUAUGUAGUGUAGCGGUGAAAUGCUUAGAGAUUACAUGGAAUACCAAUUGCGAAGGCAGGUUACUACU
rnacentral:rRNA from 1 species